CCUACGGGGGGCAGCAGUGGGGAAUAUUGGACAAUGGGGGCAACCCUGAUCCAGCCAUGCCGCGUGUGUGAAGAAGGCCCUCGGGUUGUAAAGCACUUUCAGUGAGGAAGAACGCCUGGUGGUUAAUACCCAUCAGGAAAGACAUCACUCACAGAAGAAGCACCGGCUAACUCCGUGCCAGCAGCCGCGGUAAUACGGAGGGUGCGAGCGUUAAUCGGAAUUACUGGGCGUAAAGCGCGCGUAGGUGGCUUGAUAAGCCGGUUGUGAAAGCCCCGGGCUCAACCUGGGAACGGCAUCCGGAACUGUCAAGCUAGAGUGCAGGAGAGGAAGGUAGAAUUCCCGGUGUAGCGGUGAAAUGCGUAGAGAUCGGGAGGAAUACCAGUGGCGAAGGCGGCCUUCUGGACUGACACUGACGCUGAGGUGCGAAAGCGUGGGUAGCAAACAGGAUUAGAUACCCGUGUAGUC
rnacentral:rRNA from 1 species